rnacentral:rRNA from 1 species
GAUGAACGCUAGCGGCAGGCUUAAUACAUGCAAGUCGUGGGGCAGCAUGAGUAGCAAUACUUGAUGGCGACCGGCAAACGGGUGAGGAACACGUACACAACCUUCCUUCAAGCGGGGAAUAGCCCAGAGAAAUUUGGAUUAAUACCCCAUAAUAUAUUUGAUAAGGCAUCUUAUUAAUAUUAAAGCUUCGGCACUUGAUGAUGGGUGUGCGGCUGAUUAGAUAGUUGGCGGGUAACGGCCCACCAAGUCUACGAUCAGUAGCUGAUGUGAGAGCAUGAUCAGCCACACGGGCACUGAGACACGGGCCCGACUCCUACGGGGAGGCAGCAGUAAGAAUAUUGGACAAUGGACGAAAGUCUGAUCCAGCCAUGCCGCGUGAAGGAUUAAA